rnacentral:rRNA from 1 species
AAUCAACGCUGGCGGCGUGCCUCAGACAUGCAAGUCGAACGAUUAAAGCUCCCUUCGGGGAGUGCAUAAAGUGGCGCACGGGUGAGUAACACGUAAGUAAUCUACCUUCGAGUGGGGAAUAACAUCGGGAAACCGAUGCUAAUACCGCAUAAUGCAGUUCGGCACCUAAUGGUGACAGUUGUUAAAGGAGCAAUCCGCUUGAAGAGGAGCUUGCGGCAGAUUAGCUAGUUGGUAAGGUAAUGGCUUACCAAGGCUUCGAUCUGUAACCGGUCUAAGGGGACGGUCGGUCACACUGACACUGAAUAACGGGUCAGACUCCUACGGGAGGCAGCAGUCGGGAAUUUUGGGCAAUGGGCGAAAGCCUGACCCAGCAACGCCGCGUGAAGGAUGAAGUAUUUCGGUAUGUAAACUUCGAAAGAAUGGGAAGAAUCAAUGACGGUACCAUUUAUAAGGUCCGGCUAACUACGUGCCAGCAGCCGCGGUAAUACGUAGGGACCAAGCGUUGUUCGGAUUUACUC